AGACAAGGACUAGUAUAGAGUCCUGAAGUCCGAGACGCUGCGGGCGAGGCUGCACAGAUCCGGUUCCUGAACCAUUGAUUCCCGCGUGGCUGCACCUUCCCGACCUAGGCCAGUUCUGGGAGGCUUGCUGUCCACGAACCAACGCCAGGGAAGGAUGCCCCAGGAGUGUGUUUUUUUCAGCUGCUGCGCGGGGCAGGAAAACUUCCUGGCGGGUAAAUACUGGGCGCUGGAUCCACGAGGAGAUGCAGUGUUUUAUCUAUCUAUGGGUGGGCGACAUGUCCUUUUUCAACUUGUUGCCUUUGCUCAAGCUUUCUCUCCACUUGGAACAUGUUUCUGACACUUAGCCUCCACGAGUGGAAACUGUUCUCCAAGGAAGAGCUCCUAGAUCGUCUAGCCGGAAGUCCCCUCUUUCAGGCUCUGAACCUGCAGCUUGUGUUAGCAAAGGACAUGCAUGUCACUUAUCACUUCCCACUUAAUUCUAUAGCUGUAUGUGCCUGCCUGGUCGCCCCAGUUAGACUGUAAGCUCCAUGAGGGCAGUGUCCCGGGGUUGCUUUUGCCCUUGUAUCCCUGGCAGCAGCCGCACAGAGCAGUAUGUGAAAGGAAGAUAGAGUUAUGACUAAACUUUGGUAUUCGACAGCUCUUGCUUGGCCUAGUCAGUGUGUGAUCUUCGGCGUUUCUAAGUCUGUUUUCUCGUCUAUAAAACGAAGGCAGUAAUACCUUUUUUGGUUGUUGCUAGGGUUGAAUGAGGCAAAACAUGCCAGAAUCUUAGUGCACGGCCUCACGCGUGUUAAGCGCUCAGUACGUGUCAACGACUGCUUUUCUGUAUGGGAGGUCAAGCAGUGUUUGUUGACUGCAUUGGUGGUGCGUGGCUGGAGUGUGGCACAUACUGAGAGCAGGAUCUGUCCUCACAAGGGAGGUGACCCAGCCUUGGCAGCCUUCUUUUCCACCUAUUGAAAUCAGGAGCCUGAAUGUAGGCCUUGCCUCUCCGACAGGCUUUUAAAAUUUCUCUACCUACACGCCUUCUGGCACCUUCAUGAGGCCCUGGUUGUUUUCUGGGGGAGUCUAUACAGUCCCCCACAGAUUCUGGAAACUCUGAGCUGGAAACUCUGGGACCAUCUUCUCCCACAAUAGGCAUUUGCUCGCUACCAGGCCUAGCCCAGUGAGGAGCAGCGGGCGCUGCUUUGAGGGCCACAGAAAGACCCGUGUGCAGCGCUGGCCUUAAAAAAAUAGGGAACGGUUCCAGCUCAACCGUGGCUGUCCUCAUCCGGCCCCAGCCAAUCCAAGCAUUUUUUGGCGGUCAGGAUGGCGGAGCUGAAAGAGACCCGUCUCACCUGGAAGGGGCAGGUGAAAGGUGCAGGGACGGUGGACAUUGCCUCCGAGCGGCAUAAGACACCGGCUGGGAGUGGGUACGAGGGUGGAGGGCUGCCACGCGGGUCCCGCAACGGCGACAGGAGUGGGUGCCCAAGGUUGAAGGGAGAAAGAACAGCCUGUCGGGAGGUGGGAGAGGCGGGGCUCUGCAGAAGGGAGCGGAACUGUUGUGGAGAGGCAGCCCCUGGGUCCGCCCGGGGAGCUGGGAUGCCGCGCGGGCCACGUGCGCCCCGGAGUACUUAGGGUAGCGGCGGCCCGCAGGCAGUAGGGAGAGACCCUCUGUGGGCAGGGUCUUGUGCUGGAACCGCCAUUCCUCAGCCACAGGGGCGCCCGGUGUCUUUCUGCUUUAAAUCCUGAAACUAUUGACGCCCCAGGCGGAGACCAGUGUCUACAAACCAGGCGGUGAGUCUGCAGAGGGAGGAAUGUGCCUGGUUUUGCCGUGGAUCCCGAGCGCUCGGGCACAAAAAUUCCGAGGUGGGGGCAGAGGGGUGCACGGCACUGCGGGGUGGCGGACCUCGAGUGUGUGUGCAUCACGGUGGCCGCCGAGCAUAAAAGCAGGAAGCUGAGCUCCAGCGCCACUUCCCCACCCCACCUCCGGGGCAAAACUGUCUCAGGGGAAAUGUUUCUGCUCUCUUCUAGUCCCCAGUUUUCUUCUCCUCGGUGAUUUCAUGAUUCUGGAAAAAGAAAAGGAGAAAGGCUAUCGAAACAAUCUCUCUCUCCCCAGUUUCCAACCGAAGCCUGCAUUUCUCCUUGUUACAUUCCCUUGCUUCCCAUCUCGCUUCGCUCCUAGGCCUUUCAUAAAUCUAGCCCAACAAUCCAGGUCUUAAAACUGCGACCAGGACAAAGCGCCCCUCCAGCGCCUGAUCGCCAAUACACGCCCACAGACGCUCUGCAGCCGCCGGAGCCCACCAGGGCGCCUCUGUGAGCUCAUGCAGGGGGCUGUCUCCUCCCCACCAGCCGGCCCACGGGUGCCCCUCUACCCCAAAUUCCGCCGCCCCAGCCGCUCCCGGGCCAGGUACCUUGCGCCAGGCCUAAGCGGUUGUCUCUUGAGGACCCUGGGCAGGUUGCUCCUCAGUAGGCCACCAGGGCCUGUGAGGACUUCCAGGCGAAGGGGCCUAGCGGGCGGCGCCUAGACCUUAUCGCCGCUUCCUUUCCUCAUACCCAGCCCAGUGUAGUGCUGUUCCAGCCUGCGGAAAACCUCUAUCCGCUACCGCAUCCCUAAGGUUGAUCUGAGUUUUAUGCCCAGAGCAGGAGUUUGGGUUGUCUCCAGCUACCCCCUCAGUAUUGUUCAGACUCCCUUGGUCUGGUUCCCCAGUGGCGUGCUUCCCCGCAGGGAUCCCCGCCAGGCCAAUCUCAUCUAGGUGGCCUCCUUUUCCCGCGCGCGCAGCCUGUACCCUCGACGGCCGCGGGCCUGAAAGGAGGAGAACUCGAGAGCCGUAGUUGUACAGCAGCAGUCGCUCCGCAGGAGUCUCUUAUCAGAGUGGGAUCUGGUUCCAACGCCUAUCCAGUUACCAUCGCCUUCUGGGGCAUUUGCAUUCUCUUGUCUGAAAAGUAGAUCUUUGAAAUCCUCGAGCUGUGCUCUACUAAUAAUAGGUUUUCGUUCCAGACAGUUUAGCUAAUUACUGUCAGAUAAAGUAAGUAUGGCUGCAUCCAUGGAAGCGUUUGAUUUUAUUUUAAUCGAGUGUAUCUGCCUUCCUACCCUUUCAUCACCUCAUACAUUUAUACAAGCUCUCUCCCCCACCCUAUGAUUAAAGAUCAUCAGUAAAUGGUGGCAAAGUCCUUGAAGGGGAAGUGCUGUAUAGAUGCCUAAACGUCUGUACCUUUUUUUUUUUUUAAGGAAAACCACAUGCUAGCCAUUACAAUAAAUGCAUUAUCAAAUGAAAAAUGUGACAAUUUUUUGAAAACUGUUAAGUGUUCUCAUAGCUGUUAUUGUCUACACAAAGAUUGCUUAAUGCACAUAUAAAUAUAGGCAGAUAAUGGAUAAUUUUAGUUGUAAAUGCCACUGCUUAUCCCGUUGUCUCUCAACUUUUCAAAUUGUCAUUUAAUUAUGUAACCAAGGCUGCAAACAAGUUGAAAGUUAUCGUGGCUUUCUAAUCAAAAUGUAACAAUGUAACACUACAAUCAGAAGAGAUUUUUCUAUUAAAGCCUGAAAAAAUCAUCCUGUGAUGAACUCAGAUAGCCAAAACAUUUCAGGUGAAUCUUUUCAUUUUUUUAAUUGCUCUCCUAGAAGUUUCAUUUUCAAUGUCAACUUAUGAGAGAGAGACUCACUAAAUGGGUUUUUGUUAAUUUGUUGGUGGUAGUGAUGGUGGCGGUGGUGGUGGUGGGUGUGUGUGUUUGUGUGUAUGCGCAAGUGUGCUUUGCUUUGGUUUUUUGUUAAGGAAUGUUAGAAAGCUAUCCAUUUUUUUUAAAGCAAUUCAGAAGCAAUAGCAUUUUAAUUGCGAGACGGGUGAAUACAUUUUGUGCUUUUAAUGUCAACUAGGUUAGUGAGUCCUAGAAGGCAUUAAACUGUUCUAAUUUCUUGGGAGGUUUUUUUCUUGUCGAAGGAAUUUCAUAAAAGAGAUUUUGAAAUGCUGUUUUAAGCACUAGUUUGUUUUGCAUGUGUUUGCAGGAAUGCCAAAUUUUCCUAGAUUUUAUUUGGAAUUGAGUUUUCUAAAUUAACCACUAUUUCUCUUUCCUGGGAGAAAAUUAGUCCGAAUACAGUAAUUUGUAUAGUUCCUUGUAAAUUACAGGUCCUUGCUGAGAAUGUGACUUUCGA
rnacentral:lncRNA from 1 species